CAGGCCUAACACAUGCAAGUCGAACGAGACCUUCGGGUCUAGUGGCGCACGGGUGCGUAACGCGUGGGAAUCUGCCCUUGGGUUCGGAAUAACUGGAAGAAAUUCCAGCUAAUACCGGAUGAUGACGUAAGUCCAAAGAUUUAUCGCCCAAGGAUGAGCCCGCGUAGGAUUAGCUUGUUGGUGAGGUAAAAGCUCACCAAGGCGACGAUCCUUAGCUGGUCUGAGAGGAUGAUCAGCCACACUGGGACUGAGACACGGCCCAGACUCCUACGGGAGGCAGCAGUGGGGAAUAUUGGACAAUGGGCGAAAGCCUGAUCCAGCAAUGCCGCGUGAGUGAUGAAGGCCUUAGGGUUGUAAAGCUCUUUUACCCGGGAUGAUAAUGACAGUACCGGGAGAAUAAGCCCCGGCUAACUCCGUGCCA
rnacentral:rRNA from 1 species